UACAUCUUGUCGGAGUGCUUUAGGGCUGAGACCAUUUAAUAAUGGGAUCCGUGGAACCUGAUCAGGCUAAUACCUGCGUGAGGAAACAAGAGUGAUUAAUAU
rnacentral:ncRNA from 1 species